rnacentral:rRNA from 1 species
GAUGAACGCUGGCGGCGUGCCUAAUACAUGCAAGUCGAGCGAACAGACGAGGAGCUUGCUCCUCUGACGUUAGCGGCGGACGUGUGAGUAACACGUGGAUAACCUACCUAUAAGACUGGGAUAACUUCGGGAAACCGGAGCUAAUACCGGAUAAUAUAUUGAACCGCAUGGUUCAAUAGUGAAAGACGGUUUUGCUGUCACUUAUAGAUGGAUCCGCGCCGCAUUAGCUAGUUGGUAAGUUAACGGCUUACCAAGGCAACGAUGCGUAGCCGACCUGAGAGACUGAUCGGCCACACUGGAGCUGAGACACGGUCCAGACUCCUACGGGAGGCAGCAGUAGGGAAUCUUCCGCAAUGGGCGAAAGCCUGACGGAGCAACGCCGCGUGAGUGAUGAAGGUCUUCGGAUCGUAAAACUCUGUUAUUAGGGAAGAACAAAUGUGUAAGUAAAUAUGCACGUCUUGACGGUACCUAAUCAGAAAGCCACGGCUAGCUACGUG